CCUACGGGAGGCAGCAGUAGGGAAUCUUGCACAAUGGAGGAAACUCUGAUGCAGCGAUGCCGCGUGAGUGAAGAAGGCCUUUGGGUUGUAAAGCUCUUUCGUCGGGGAAGAAAAUGACUGUACCCGAAUAAGAAGGUCCGGCUAACUUCGUGCCAGCAGCCGCGGUAAUA
rnacentral:rRNA from 1 species